GGGGAAUCUUGCGCAAUGGGCGAAAGCCUGACGCAGCGACGCCGCGUGGAGGAUGAAGGCCCUCGGGUUGUAAAGCUCUUUUACCCGGGAUGAUAAUGACAGUACCGGGAGAAUAAGCUCCGGCUAACUCC
rnacentral:rRNA from 1 species